UGGCUGAGUGAUAAAGCACUUGGCUUCCUACCAAGAGUUCCUGGGUUCGAAUUUCAG
rnacentral:tRNA from 1 species